rnacentral:rRNA from 1 species
GACGAACGCUGGCGGCGUGCCUAAUACAUGCAAGUAGGACGCAGUUGCGAACGGGUGAGUAACGCGUAGGUAACUGCCUAUUAGAGGGGGAUAACUAUUGGAAACGAUAGCUAAUACCGCAUACUAGUAGAUGGACCUGCGUUGUAUUAGCUAGUAGGUAGGGUAAUGGCCUACCUAGGCGACCAUACAUAGCCGAACUGAGAGGGUGAUCGGCCACACUUGGACUGGGACACGGGCCAGACUCCGACGGGAGGCAACAGUAGGGAAUCUUCGGGAAUGGGGGGAACGCUGACCGAGCAACGCCGCGUGGGUGAAGAAGGGUUUCGGAUCGUAAAGCUCUGUUGUUAAGGAAGCGGUACUUAACCAGAAAGGGACGGCUAACUACGUGCCAGCAGCCGCGGUAAUUC